GUUGUUGGGUAGGGGAGCGUUCUGUAAGCCUGCGAAGGUGUGCUGUGAGGCAUGCUGGAGGUAUCAGAAGUGCGAAUGCUGACAUAAGUAACGAUAAAGCGGGUGAAAAGCCCGCUCGCCGGAAGACCAAGGGUUCCUGUCCAACGUUAAUCGGGGCAGGGUGAGUCGACCCCUAAGGCGAGGCCGAAAGGCGUAGUCGAUGGGAAACAGGUUAAUAUUCCUGUACUUGGUGUUACUGCGAAGGGGGGACGGAGAAGGCUAUGUUGGCCGGGCGACGGUUGUCCCGGUUUAAGCGUGUAGGCUGGUUUUCCAGGCAAAUCCGGAAAAUCAAGGCUGAGGCGUGAUGACGAGGCACUACGGUGCUGAAGCAACAAAUGCCCUGCUUCCAGGAAAAGCCUCUAAGCAUCAGGUAACAUCAAAUCGUACCCCAAACCGACACAGGUGGUCAGGUAGAGAAUACCAAGGCGCUUGAGAGAACUCGGGUGAAGGAACUAGGCAAAAUGGUGCCGUAACUUCGGGAGAAGGCACGCUGAUAUGUAGGUGAAGUCCCUUGCGGAUGGAGCUGAAAUCAGUCGAAGAUACCAGCUGGCUGCAACUGUUUAUUAAAAACACAGCACUGUGCAAACACGAAAGUGGACGUAUACGGUGUGACGCCUGCCCGGUGCCGGAAGGUUAAUUGAUGGGGUCAGCGCAAGCGAAGCUCUUGAUCGAAGCCCCGGUAAACGGCGGCCGUAACUAUAACGGUCCUAAGGUAGCGAAAUUCCUUGUCGGGUAAGUUCCGACCUGCACGAAUGGCGUAAUGAUGGCCAGGCUGUCUCCACCCGAGACUCAGUGAAAUUGAACUCGCUGUGAAGAUGCAGUGUACCCGCGGCAAGACGGAAAGACCCCGUGAACCUUUACUAUAGCUUGACACUGAACAUUGAGCCUUGAUGUGUAGGAUAGGUGGGAGGCUUUGAAGUGUGGACGCCAGUCUGCAUGGAGCCGGCCUUGAAAUACCACCCUUUAAUGUUUGAUGUUCUAACGUGGACCCGUGAUCCGGGUUGCGGACAGUGUCUGGUGGGUAGUUUGACUGGGGCGGUCUCCUCCUAAAGAGUAACGGAGGAGCACGAAGGUUGGCUAAUCCUGGUCGGACAUCAGGAGGUUAGUGCAAUGGCAUAAGCCAGCUUGACUGCGAGCGUGACGGCGCGAGCAGGUGCGAAAGCAGGUCAUAGUGAUCCGGUGGUUCUGAAUGGAAGGGCCAUCGCUCAACGGAUAAAAGGUACUCCGGGGAUAACAGGCUGAUACCGCCCAAGAGUUCAUAUCGACGGCGGUGUUUGGCACCUCGAUGUCGGCUCAUCACAUCCUGGGGCUGAAGUAGGUCCCAAGGGUAUGGCUGUUCGCCAUUUAAAGUGGUACGCGAGCUGGGUUUAGAACGUCGUGAGACAGUUCGGUCCCUAUCUGCCGUGGGCGCUGGAGAACUGAGGGGGGC
rnacentral:rRNA from 1 species